rfam:Myotis brandtii contig226565, whole genome shotgun sequence.
GACAGUUCUCAGGUGAUGCACCCAGAAAUUGGGCUCCCUUCUUUCUGGUUCCAGGUGCAUCACCUGAGAACCGCA